GACGAACGCUGGCGGCGUGCCUAAUACAUGCAAGUAGAACGCACAGUUUAUACCGUAGCUUGCUACACCAUAGACUGUGAGUUGCGAACGGGUGAGUAACGCGUAGGUAACCUGCCUGGUAGCGGGGGAUAACUAUUGGAAACGAUAGCUAAUACCGCAUCAUAUUAAUUAUUGCAUGAUAAUUGAUUGAAAGAUGCAACUGCAUCACUACCAGAUGGACCUGCGUUGUAUUAGCUAGUAGGUGAGGUAACGGCUCACCUAGGCGACGAUACAUAGCCGACCUGAGAGGGUGAUCGGCCACACUGGGACUGAGACACGGCCCAGACUCCUACGGGAGGCAGCAGUAGGGAAUCUUCGGCAAUGGACGAAAGUCUGACCGAGCAACGCCGCGUGAGUGAAGAAGGGUUUCGGAUCGUAAAGCUCUGUUGUAAGAGAAGAACGGGUGUGAGAGUGGAAAGUUCACACUGUGACGGUAUCUUACCAGAAAGGGACGGCUAACUACGUG
rnacentral:rRNA from 1 species